rnacentral:Y_RNA from 1 species
GGCUGGUCCAAAGAUAGUGAGUUAUAUCUGCUGAUUGUUUAAAGUCAGUUACAGAUCAAACUAUUUGUUCUACUCUUUCCUCUUCAGCACUUGACUAGUCUUAA